rnacentral:tRNA from 1 species
CAAAUUAAAGCUUAAUAAAGCAUAUUAUUUACACUAAUAAAAAUUAUUGAUUUAUCAAUAUAAUUUGA